UUUUACUUUCUCUCCAACUGACACAUAAAAAAUGGAGGGUCUUAUUCCUUUUGUUUACAAGGCUAUCAUGCAAUACAAGGGUGACAAAGACGGUCAUCCUAUAGGAUCAUGGCUUUGUGAGUCACCUUCUUACUCAUACAUGAGACUUCCUGCUGGUGACUCAGGUAGGUUUCAAAUUCAAGCACCUGCUUCUUCAUUCUCUGCAGCUUCACCCUCUUCCACCAACCCUAAUUCUUCUUCUGCUACACAAAUCAUUGUUUCCUCUGGUGUUCAGUCCCCACAUCAGUGUCUUACACAUCGUCGAAUUGCAGCAUGAACAUGAACAAUUCAAGUUUGUGUGCCUGAAGAAAAAGUUGAAGGUGCUUAUUGCUU
rnacentral:lncRNA from 1 species